rnacentral:rRNA from 1 species
AGAGUUUGAUCCUGGCUCAGAUUGAACGCUAGCGGGAUGCUUUACACAUGCAAGUCGAACGGCAGCACGAGAGAGCUUGCUCUCUUGGUGGCGAGUGGCGGACGGGUGAGUAAUAUAUCGGAACGUGCCCAGUAGCGGGGGAUAACUACUCGAAAGAGUGGCUAAUACCGCAUACGCCCUACGGGGGAAAGGGGGGGAUCGCAAGACCUCUCACUAUUGGAGCGGCCGAUAUCGGAUUAGCUAGUUGGUGGGGUAAAGGCUCACCAAGGCAAUGAUCCGUAGCUGGUUUGAGAGGACGACCAGCCACACUGGGACUGAGACACGGCCCAGACUCCUACGGGAGGCAGCAGUGGGGAAUUUUGGACAAUGGGGGAAACCCUGAUCCAGCCAUCCCGCGUGUAUGAUGAAGGCCUUCGGGUUGUAAAGUACUUUUGGCAGAGAAGAAAAGGCAUCCCCUAAUACGGGAUGCUGCUGACGGUAUCUGCAGAAUAAGCACCGGCUAACUACGUGCCAGCAGCCGCGGUAAUACGUAGGGUGCAAGCGUUAAUCGGAAUUACUGGGCGUAAAGCGUGUGUAGGCGGUUCGGAAAGAAAGAUGUGAAAUCCCAGGGCUCAACCUUGGAACUGCAUUUUUAACUGCCGAGCUAGAGUAUGUCAGAGGGGGGUAGAAUUCCACGUGUAGCAGUGAAAUGCGUAGAUAUGUGGAGGAAUACCGAUGGCGAAGGCAGCCCCCUGGGAUAAUACUGACGCUCAGACACGAAAGCGUGGGGAGCAAAAAGGAUUAGAUACCCUGGUAGUCCACGCCC